CUCUGGAAAGUUCAGGGAAAAACAGCUCCAACAACUUAUAUCCAGAAGCGGUGAUAAAAGCAGCUUUCUGAUUGGCCAGAGGCUGGCUUGGACCAUCUCGGGAGGAACGCGUACCCUCCUCCCCUUCUGGAAGUGGGUUCGCCCACGGAGGGGGCCAGUUGGGAGCGCGGGAGACUGGAGCGGCGCCUGCGCAGUGGACAAGGUGCAGUUGCCCAAGCGGAACUUUGAACCCGCUCUGUUGGGCCGAGGUUCUUGUCGCCCCCUCAAGUCCCAGAUUCCGGGGAGCGCGACCGUAAGCUGCAUCAAGAAAUCUAGUCCUUGGCUCGCAUCUCACAGGGAAAUCUGAUUUUUAAAGCCCGAGAAUGUCAUGCUUUAAAAUGUAAAAUAGGAAAGUGUUGACAGUGAUGUCUGUGGACAAAGGGAGCACAAGUGAGUUUAAUGUGGGGGAGCAGCGGGACUCAGACACUUGAAGCCCUACUUUCCUGAGUCCAGCCCCUCUUGUAAAAUGGAGAAUAUAUCACAUACCACACAUCAUCGAAUGAGAAAGCCAGCCCCAGGACACUCCCCACCCCACAGGGAGGCUCUGAGGAUGUCUGUUGACUUUCUGGGGGAGGCUCCUCUUGCUGAAAGAGGAACCUCAGACUGAAAUCACUGCCGCCGCCGUCUUCCUGACCUGGUGACCAUCGUGGCACAUCGCCUCACCCCUGAGCCUGUUUCCUCGUUAAAAAUGGGCUAGUGGAACCCACCUCCUGGGGUUGUCCUGACGCUCAAAAGAAGGUCUGUAAGUGCCUGGAACAUAGUAGGGGCUCAACAGUGAGGAAUGGAUGAAUGAGAAGAGAUUCAUCUGGACAAAUUUCAUUGAUCAUCACUGCCGUAUGCCAGGUGCAUGCACCCCUGUUCUGCCUCUGCUGGGCCCCCCUGGGAUGGCUGGUGCUGAGCAGGAAGAUGCCCUCAGUGAAGGUGCCUGCCCCCCGGGGGCUUAUCAUCACAGGCCUUUCAGUUACCUGGAACUUGCCUCACCUGCUCAGUGUCUCCCUGUGGCUACCAGCCUUGUGCUGGGCCAUGAACACACAUACACUCCACACAUUUCUGUGGAUGCUUCAGCCUUGAAUUGGGAGUGAAACAGUGCAAGCUGCCUGGAAGUUUCUUUCUUUGGGACUCAUUCCUGGCAUUGUGGUUAAGAUGUGUCUCCUGCCUUCCCCUCACCUUUGUCUUCUUUGGAAACAUCGUGCAAGUCUGUCUCAGACACCCCAGGCCUCGGAGACGGGACGGAAGGCGUUUGCCACCCUUUCCAAUAUGCGUCUCUGAGAUGCCAUGUCCCCAGCCUGCCAGACACUAGGGGGCCUCAGGCCUAUUCUAGGUGCUGGGGCCAGAGCUGAACAAAAUGAAGUUCCUGCAUUUGUGGAGCUGGACAUGAAUCCCCAGGAGAGAGAGAGAGAAGCAAGCAAUGGCAAGCCUGAGGCUCGGAGGAACUAGAACACCUCUAGGGACUUGGCGGAGCAAGGAUUCACAUCCAGGCCCGUGGAUCAGCCUCUGGAUCCUGAAGGAGGGGCACGACACCUGCCGCUCAUCCCUCAUGACUGAAUUCAGGCGUCACCUCUUUCCAGAAGCCCUCCUUGAUUCCCCCCUUUCCCGAUUACACGCCAUGCUCACGUUCCCUGUGUUGCCUGGGACGGUUACAGCGGAGCAAUGAUCCAUUGACUUGCCUGCUGCCACCCUGUCUGUGAGCCCGCUGGGGUCAGGGACCUCUCAGAGGCAGAGCGGGAAGGAAACUCUGUCGACCUCGACACACGUGGAUCUGGGUUCAAAGCCUAGCUCGCCAACGUACCAGCCAUGUGCCCUGGUGGCAAGUCGCUGAACCUUUAGGAACAUCAGUUUCACAUCUGGAGACGGAAGACGCUCUUUUUCUUCUAGGGCUAUGCCAAGGAGGCUUGAUGAUAUCAUCUCGUGCCCUGAGAGAGUCUUUCUGCUUCUCCACCUGCUUCUCCAUUAUGAUUAGAUUGCUUUUGUUUUCCCUUAGUUUCAGCCCUUUCUGAAUAUUUUCAGACUGUCUCCCUGACCACAUGAAGAGUAGAAUGGG